GAUGAACGCUGGCGGCGUGCUUAACACAUGCAAGUCGAACGGAAAGGCCUCUGCUUGCAGGGGUACUCGAGUGGCGAACGGGUGAGUAACACGUGGGUGAUCUGCCCUGCACUUCGGGAUAAGCCUGGGAAACUGGGUCUAAUACCGGAUAGGACAAUGGUUUGGAUGCUGUUGUGGAAAGUUUUUCGGUGUGGGAUGAGCUCGCGGCCUAUCAGCUUGUUGGUGGGGUAAUGGCCUACCAAGGCGUCGACGGGUAGCCGGCCUGAGAGGGGGUACGGCCACAUUGGGACUGAGAUACGGCCCAGACUCCUACGGGAGGCAGCAGUGGGGAAUAUUGCACAAUGGGCGCAAGCCUGAUGCAGCGACGCCGCGUGGGGGGUGACGGCCUUCGGGUUGUAAACUCCUUUCGCUAGGGACGAAGCGUUUUUGUGACGGUACCUGGAGAAGAAGCACCGGCUAACUACGUG
rnacentral:rRNA from 1 species